rnacentral:rRNA from 1 species
GAUGAACGCUAGCUACAGGCUUAACACAUGCAAGUCGAGGGGCAGCAUUAUCGAAGCUUGCUUUGAUAGAUGGCGACCGGCGCACGGGUGAGUAACGCGUAUCCAACCUUCCCCAUAGUCAGGAAUAGCCCGGCGAAAGUCGAAUUAAUGCCUGAUGUUUUCCACGGACGGCAUCUGAUGUGGAACAAAGAUUGAUCGCUAUGGGAUGGGGAUGCGUCUGAUUAGCUUGUUGGCGGGGUAACGGCCCACCAAGGCAACGAUCAGUAGGGGUUCUGAGAGGAAGGUCCCCCACAUUGGAACUGAGACACGGUCCAAACUCCUACGGGAGGCAGCAGUGAGGAAUAUUGGUCAAUGGGCGGAAGCCUGAACCAGCCAAGUAGCGUGAGGGAUGACUGCCCUAUGGGUUGUAAACCUCUUUUAUAAGGGAAUUAAAAUACGGGACGUGUCCUGUUUUGCAUGUACCUUAUGAAUAAGGACCGGCUAAUUCCGUGCCAGCAGCCG